CAGAUUGUGUCUAAUCUUGAGAAGAUGAAGCUCCCCACCAAACCUUCAGGUGCAACAGGGGAUUCCAUACGCCAUGGAUCUGAUGACACUGCACGCCGACCGCCAUCUGUGAAGGCUGCACUUUCAGUAUCAUUUGGUCAGCGUGCUCCUCAUCGCGCAUCAACCAGGGACUCAUCACCUGUUCGUCGUACACUACUGCCACCCUCUUAUGAUAGAAUUAAUGAUGAUGCUAAAAGAUCUCCCAGUAGUCGUCAUAGCCAGAGUCGUGAAUAUUCUGAUAAAGAAUAUUCAAACAGGGACAGAGAUAGGGAUCGGGAUCCCCAUGGAAGAGACCGGGAAAGGGGCAGUGAUCGUGAUCGAGAUCGAGAUAGGUACCGUGAACGAGACCGGGAUAGGGACCUUGAACGAGACCGGCGCCAGGACAGGGACAGAGACCGAAGGUAUGAUUAUGAUCGGAGGUCCGGGUAUUCUGAGAGAGAAAGCAGAAGGGAUUAUGAAUGGAGCAGCCAUGAUGGAAGUAGGCACUACAGGAAAAGUAGUUCUCAUAGAAGCCAUAACCGGAGUAGGAGUCGCAGCCGAAGCAGUAGCAGAAGUCGAAUUUUGCAAAACAGUGUUGCUCCAUUUGAUCGUCAUUCGACUCCACAGAGGGAUGGAAGCAAGGAGAAGACCUCUGCAUCUAGCAAUUUGGCAAAGCUCAAGGAUCUGUAUGGUGACUUGGGUGAUCAGAAAGGGGAUGCUGGUCUGGAAAGGCUAUCUCGAAGGGAUAAUGGCAAUGAGGAGGUCAUUAGGCUUGGUGGUUCUACAUG
rnacentral:misc_RNA from 1 species